rnacentral:rRNA from 1 species
UGGUGGAGUGAUUUGUCUGGUUAAUUCCGUUAACGAACGAGACCUCGACCUUGUUAAAUAGUUCGGCGAAUCCUAGAUUCGACCUGAACUUCUUAGAGGGACUAUUGGUCUUCAGCCAAUGGAAGUUCGAGGCAAUAACA